rnacentral:rRNA from 1 species
AGUGAACGCUGGCGGUAGGCCUAACACAUGCAAGUCGAACGAAAGGACAGUAAGAUUGUGCCUUUACGGGUGGCGAGGGGCGGAUGGGUAAGGAAUAGAUCGGAAACUUAUUUUACGGGGAGGACAACGGAGGGAAACUGAUACUAACACCGAAUACGUUCUACGGGAUAGAGCAAUGGAGAUUGAGGCUUUUGGCGACAGAAUGAGACGGUGCCGGAUUGGCUAGUUGGCGGGGUAACGGCACACCAAGGCCACGAUACGAAGCGGAGCUGAGAGGAUGAUCGGCCACACUGGAACUGAGACACGGUCCAGACUCCUACGGGAGGCAGCAGUAGGGAAUCUUCCGCAAUGGGCGAAAGCCUGACCCAGCCAUGCCGCGUGAGUGAUGAAGGCCUUCGGAUCGUAAAGCCCUUUUAUUGGGGAAGAACAGCUGUGGAUUAAUCCCCCGCCGUUCUGACGGUACCCAAUCAAUAAGCCCCGGCUAACUUCGUG